rnacentral:miRNA from 1 species
UUUUUUUUUUUUUAAAAAAAAAAAAAAAAAUUUUUUUUUUUUUUUUUAAAAAAAAAAAAAAAAAUUUUUUUUUUUUUUUUUAAAAAAAAAAAAAAAAAUUUUUUUUUUUUUUUUUAAAAAAAAAAAAAAAAAUUUUUUUUUUUUUUUUUCUUAUUGAAAAAA